rnacentral:ncRNA from 1 species
GGUUACGGAUCUGGAAGCUGGUGAAAAUCCAGCACGGUCGCGCCACUGUGACCCGCGGUUAUCGCCGGAAGUCAGGCCUUGGUCCGUGCCC